UACGUAGGGUGCGAGCGUUAAUCGGAAUUACUGGGCGUAAAGCGUGCGCAGGCGGUGAUGUAAGACCGAUGUGAAAUCCCCGGGCUUAACCUGGGAACUGCAUUGGUGACUGCAUCGCUCGAGUAUGGCAGAGGGGGUAGAAUUCCACGUGUAGCAGUGAAAUGCGUAGAGAUGUGGAGGAAUACCGAUGGCGAAGGCAGCCCCUGGGUCAAUACUGACGCUCAUGCACGAAAGCGUGGGAGCAAACAGG
rnacentral:rRNA from 1 species